UACGAAGGGGGCUAGCGUUGCUCGGAAUCACUGGGUGUAAAGGGUGCGUAGGCGGGUCUUUAAGUCAGGGGGGAAAUCCUGGAGCUCAACUCCAGAACUGCCUUUGAUACUGGCGACCUUGAGUCCGGGAGAGGUGAGUGGAACUGCGAGUGUAGAGGUGAAAUUCGUAGAUAUUCGCAAGAACACCAGUGGCGAAGGCGGCUCACUGGCCCGGUACUGACGCUGAGGUGCGAAAGCGUGGGGAGCAAACAGG
rnacentral:rRNA from 1 species